GUAAUGAGUCAGUGUCCUGGGGUACGAGGUAGUAGUGAGUCAGUGUCCUGGGGUACGAGGUAGUAGUGAGUCAGUGUCCUGGGGUACGAGGUAGUAAUGAGUCGCUGUCCUGGGGUACGAGGUAGUAGUGAGUCAGUGUCCUGGGGUACGAGGUAGUAAUGAGUCAGUGUCCUGGGGUACGAGGUAGUAAUGAGUCAGUGUCCUGGGGUACGAGGUAGUAAUGAGUCAGUGUCCUGGGGUACGAGGUAGUAAUGAGUCAGUGUCCUGGGGUACGAGGUAGUAGUGAGUCAGUGUCCUGGGGUACGAGGUAGUAAUGAGUCGGUGUCCUGGGGUACGAGGUAGUAAUGAGUCAGUGUCCUGGGGUACGAGGUAGUAAUGAGUCAGUGUACUGGGGUACGAGGUAGUAAUGAGUCAGUGUCCUGGGGUACGAGGUAGUAAUGAGUCAGUGUACUGGGGUACGAGGUAGUAAUGAGUCAGUGUCCUGGGGUACGAGGUAGUAAUGAGUCAGUGUCCUGGGGUACGAGGUAGUAGUGAGUCAGUGUCCUGGGGUACGAGGUAGUAAUGAGUCAGUGUACUGGGGUACGAGGUAGUAAUGAGUCAGUGUCCUGGGGUACGAGGUAGUAAUGAGUCAGUGUCCUGGGGUACGAGGUAGUAAUGAGUCAGUGUCCUGGGGUACGAGGUAGUAGUGAGUCAGUGUCCUGGGGUACGAGGUAGUAAUGAGUCGGUGUCCUGGGCUACGAGGUAGUAAUGAGUCAGUGUCCUGGGGUACGAGGUAGUAAUGAGUCAGUGUACUGGGGUACGAGGUAGUAAUGAGUCAGUGUACUGGGGUACGAGGUAGUAAUGAGUCGGUGUCCUGGGGUACGAGGUAGUAAUGAGUCGGUGUCCUGGGGUACGAGGUAGUAAUGAGUCAGUGUCCUGGGGUACGAGGUAGUAAUGAGUCACUGUCCUGGGGUACGAGGUAGUAGUGAGUCAGUGUCCUGGGGUACGAGGUAGUAAUGAGUCAGUGUCCUGGGGUACGAGGUAGUAGUGAGUCAGUGUCCUGGGGUACGAGGUAGUAGUGAGUCAGUGUCCUGGGGUACGAGGUAGUAAUGAGUCAGUGUCCUGGGGUACGAGGUAGUAAUGAGUCGGUGUCCUGGGGUACGAGGUAGUAAUGAGUCGGUGUCCUGGGGUACGAGGUAGUAAUGAGUCGGUGUGCUGGGGUACGAGGUAGUAGUGAGUCGGUGUCCUGGGGUACGAGGUAGUAAUGAGUCAGUGUCCUGGGGUACGAGGUAGUAGUGAGUCAGUGUCCUGGGGUACGAGGUAGUAAUGAGUCAGUGUCCUGGGGUACGAGGUAGUAGUGAGUCAGUGUCCUGGGGUACGAGGUAGUAAUGAGUCGGUGUCCUGGGGUACGAGGUAGUAGUGAGUCAGUG